ACUCAAAUGAAUUGACGGGGGCUCACACAAGCGGUGGAGCAUGUGGCUUAAUUCGAGGCUACGCGAAGAACCUUAUCCUGGGCUUGACAUAUGCGAAAGCGCUAGCAAGUAGAAGCCGGAAACGGUAACGAACGGUAUCCAACCCGGAAGCUAGCACAGGUGCUGCAUGGCUGUCGUCAGCUCGUGUCGUGAGAUGUCGGGUUAAGUCCCAUAACGAGCGAAACCCUUACCAUCAGUUGCUAAUUAUAGGACUCUGGUGGGACUGCCGGUGUUAAACCGGAGGAAGGUGGGGAUGACGUCAAGUCCUCAUGGCCUUUAUGCCCAGGGCUGCACACGUGCUACAAUGGCGUGAACAAAGGGAAGCAAAGUCGCGAGACCAAGCAAAUCCCAAAAAACACGCCCCAGUUCAGAUCGAAGGCUGCAACUCGCCUUCGUGAAGCCGGAAUCGCUAGUAAUCGCGGGUCAGCAACACCGCGGUGAAUGUGUUCCUGAGCCUUGCACACACCGCCCGU
rnacentral:rRNA from 1 species